CUUGGGUGGCGACCGGCGCACGGGUGAGUAACGCGUAUGCAACUUACCUAUCAGAGGGGGGUAGCCCGGCGAAAGUCGGAUUAAUACCCCAUGAAACAGGGGUCCCGCAUGGGAAUAUUUGUUAAAGAUUCAUCGCUGAUAGAUAGGCAUGCGUUCCAUUAGGCAGUUGGCGGGGUAACGGCCCACCAAACCGACGAUGGAUAGGGGUUCUGAGAGGAAGGUCCCCCACAUUGGUACUGAGACACGGACCAA
rnacentral:rRNA from 1 species